AACAGAAAACUCACAUAAUUUUAUUAAUUAAAAAUUAACCUGAUAGUAAUAAAAUUUUGUUCACGCAUGGAUAUGCUUAAUCAAACUAGCAAUUAAUAAUUGAAUACAUGAUUAUAGCAUUUUCUUUAUGUAGUGAUCCAUUUUAAGCCUAAUGGCCAAGUUAUACCAUAUUCCAUCAACUAACAUUCAUAUUAUUGCAAUAUUUAUGAAUGUAUUAAAAGUCAAAAUUCUUAAAAUUCCAAGUUCAGAAUUAGAGCCGUUAAAAUGGGUCACAACCCGCGAGCCAACCCGGCCCGUCACGGGUUCGGGUCGGGUUGGGUUUGAAAAAUACAACCCACUUAUAUGCGGGUCAGAUUUCAACCCGGCUCAUUUAGCUCAUUCGGGUUGAACCUGUGGUGAGCCGGGUUGGCCCACCAACCCACCUACCUAAUUUUAUUUUUUUAAUUUAUUAUUUUAUUUAUGAAACCCUAAAAACUAAAAUACUUUCUUCACUCACUGUGUAUAUCAAAAAAAUAACCUCUGCUCUCACAAAUCACUCUCACGGUACUUGCUCUCAUUUGACGGUGCUCUCACCCUCACUUCACUGAAAUUCUUCAAGGAGCAGGUAAAACACCCUUCCUUUUUUUCUUCUCUUUUCUCCACCAUUUUUGUUUUCUCACUUCUCUUUCUUUUCUUUUUUUUCAAAAACCCUAUAAUGACAAAAAUAGGGGUUUGCAAAUUUGUCUUUUGUUCUGGGGGAUUUGAAGACAUGGAAUGAUAUUUUCAUGUUCGGACAUGCUUGUAUCAGAUUUUGUUCAUUUUAUUUAAACAAUUUGAAUAUACAUUAUUUGAACAAACUCUUUUUGAUAUCUUUGAAUUUGGAAAAUUAUCUUACAUAUUAAACUAUUAAUUUU
rnacentral:lncRNA from 1 species